GGAGGAAAAGCUACCUAUGCCUUUUUUUCCCGUCCAAGUCUGCUUCCGGACAGGUCACGGGCUCUUCUCUAGCAUCCCACCCAUGUCUCUCUGCUGCUCAGCACCAUCUCUGCAUUUUCUUCCAUAGUAGGGCAGAUCUGGCUUGUUCUUGUUGUGUUCCUCGCUAUUUCUCCCAUGGAGGAUUUACGUCCUACUCGGUCCUUCUUACAGUUGAUGGCUAAUAUGCAGCCCCGUGGAUCCUGGUCUGGGAAGCUUGGAAGGCGCAUGUUAUUUCCAAGGAGUAGGGAAAUGCCCAUACCCUCCGGGACAGAGCUCAACACUUUCUCCUGAUGAAUUUUUACCAGCAUCUCCUAUUGAUCUGGACCCCGUCCCAAGUUCUAUGGAUGUUCUGCCGGAUAGCACAAAAUACUGCUGACCAAGAUGCAUUGGGAGAUGAGGUGUACAUGUGUGACCAGUAUGUAGCAAACAUGGAUUCUGAAACGGCGGAAAACACAUCUGAUUCCGUGUGGGCAGACAUCAGCGGGUACUCAUCUUGUUCUGGGCCUAGCUAAAGGUAAUAAAUCAGCACUGACAUCUUUCGUUUAACCUGUACUCCAUGUUCUUAACUUUGGUUACUGUAGUGCUAUUUGCCUUGUUAGCCACGAUAGUAGUACCAUGAAUGGAUUCACUUAUUUGUAUGUUUUUUUUGGGUAUAAAACUAGUCUUUUUGCGCAAAGAUGUUUUGGUUACUUGUAUGUGCUCUUAACUUUGGUAACUAUACUGCUAUUGAAUUCCUGAUGAUGUGCUUGUUGACGGUCAUUAUAGGCCAAUUUUGACCGCCAAUAUAUCUACAUUAAAGGAGAAUUAGCUAUGCUUAUAAUGCAUAUUUGUUUUAGAAUAAUAUAGUUCCACUUAUACUUGGAGAAUAAUGUUGCAUGAAUUGAGCAAAUAAAUAAUGAAGAAAUGAGGAGAACUCACUCCUAAGCAAGCAUAUGGAUAAGGAGGGCCCACAUGUUAGGUGUAACCGUCCAGAAACCACCUUAACUGUCACAAUCGACUAGAGGACCCACCUGUCUGUACCAUGCCCGAAGCUGGAGGCCUGCUGGGCUAGCCCAGGGGCCGAACCCUGGUGGCCCCCAAUCAGCCUGGCCCUCCAUGUGGACGUCCAGGAUGCACUCUCAAUGACGGUUGUGGGGUAGGAAGGUCAUUUCGCCUUUCCUACCAUCGUCAUGCUGACCCUAUAAAAGGAGGAGCCCAUUUCACUCUCAAAACACUCAGGCAAGCUCAAGAUUCCUCUUCAUACUUUAUUUUAGUAGUUUUAGUACUAAGUGGAGUAGUAUAGAAUAGUUCUCGCAGUCCUCGGAGCUUCCAGAAGAAUUUCGGUAUGGCUUUAGUAGCUUUCUUAUUUUCUUCUGUAAGACUCUCGGAAAUAAUAAAGAUACUCUUCUUCUUAUAUUCUCGGUACUUUACUUAGUCUGAGUGCUGCUCUUAUUUUAUAUUUGUGUAGUCACAAUUGUGUGGGUAGCCUACCAGAGAGGUGCAAUGGUGUGGGUUUAGUGUCCGAGUUAUCGGUUGCUCUAUAUCAUCUGCAGAGGAGUAGUAUUUAUUAAUGUAAGCAUGGUGCUUAGAUUACUAAAUAUCACUAUCUGGGCAUAUAUGCUGCGGGAUAGUAGAGGUGGGCUGCUGAUGGUGAUAGCUCAGUACGGGUAUUCUUCCACGUUAGUAUAUAUUCCUAAUACAAAUUCCUAGGGAGGGUACUCCUCCGUAUUUAGCCCCGGUUGGACAGCCAUGACAGGUUGUCAUAAGAAACUCAGCAACCAAGGGUGGUCUCUCGAAACACCAGGAGGGCACUGUUAGGGGGUAUUUGCCACAUAAUUGUAUACUAGCAAAUGUAGACUAGAGUUUGAGUGUAUAUUAGAAGUAUAGGAAAUGAGUUCUUCCUAUCUCUUCUUCCACUCAGUUAGAAUUAUUUAUUUGAGGAAAUCCAAAGGCUUCGCUUCGUGUCACUCCAUCCUUAUAUUAAAUUAACCUCUACUUAGAUUUUGAUUAAAGCAAGUAAUAUAUGUAUGUAUAUAUUAGCAUGGUUCUCUCUUUUACAAUCUUCCCUUGGGAUUAAAUAAAUAUGAUACCUUCGAAUACUUCCGGGUGAAAUGCUACAAUGGUAUAUCCAUGCGCUUGCGGAUUACUUCUGUAACCAUAAAUAUAUCAGGACUAUUUCUGUGCCAUUGCUAGAAAUGAAUAUUUCUAUUAAUGUUGUUAAGAAAUACCAACAGUGCCUGUAAUUGUUUUUGGGUUUCAAUUUUGUGUGAGAAUGAGACAGUAGACUACUGAUUAAGAGCGAUGUGCAUGGAUUAGAGGCGUUUCAACAGCACUUGGACAAGUUUCUCAGUUUGAUUCACUGGAUCCAUAUGCAUGUAUCAUUUGACUGAACUAAUUGUUGCUGAUGAUGUGAACUUGGACAAGUUUCUCAGUUCGAUGCACGUGCUAACGCUACGACAAUAUUUGAUAAUGCAAAAUUAAAAAAAAAUCAAAAUAUUUUAUAUAUCUUGAAAGUAUAAAAUGAGAUAAAUUUUAAAGUCAUGAAAAAAAGUUCAGUUUAAAUAACAAAUUUUAAAUCAUGCAGAAAAAAAAUCAGGUCCAGAGAUGGAUAGCACCAGUAGCUAUACCGUGUUACUCUAAAAUACAAAAUAAAAUAAUUUUAUCUCCUGGAUGUAAAUCUAUAUUUUUGUUUCAUAACACCACAUUUUUCACAAUUACAAAGAGGGUCGCCUCAAGCAAUCGAAACAUCAAUGGUCACUACAUGCAUCGCUAGAAAGAACAUCAUCUUGAUGUAAACUGCUGGACCUGAAUAGAUUGGCCUCUCUAACAGCACCAGGAUCAGCUCCAACAUCAUCUUAAGCUAGAAAUAACUUCGAUUUCUGAAAGCUCAGGAAGACAUUAGCAUGAGGCAUGUUUGCAUGGUUCCAACUCCUAAACUCCUGAGAAACCAAAUGCCUUAAAAAAUUUUCUCGUUUAGCCACAUCAAAAAUCUUUCAAGCAAAUUACAUCCAAAUAAAAAGAAGUAACAGAACCGGCCAUAGAAUUUAUGCAUUGCAUCAUUAUUAGUAAUUACAAAGUCAUCAGCACACUUCAAUAUUCAACAUGCCAGAGAAAACACAUCUUUAUUGGAUUCAUCCAAUAGCACUUUUUCAUGGAUAUGAUGAAGCUAUCGUUUCAUUGUCUGGAGCUCCAAAAUUGGUUGGUGCAUACAAAGGAGAUACUCCACUUAAUAUCAAGCAAUUGACAAAAUUAACAUAUUUUCAAAGUUAUGGCACCUCACAAAAUGGAAAAUUGACCUUCUGCUGCAGCCUACAUAACACAUAUCAGCAGCACAACAAUUGCAGUUCAAAGAGUCUACACUGAUGAAUAAAAAUUGAUUUGGUUGAUAGAAAGAACCACCCAAGUACUCAAUACAAAUAGAAAAUUGCAAUAAUUGUUCAGUAUUUACAGUGAAAUCUAAAUCUACAGGAAAUAACAGCCUCGAUCUGCCAUGGAGAAACUUUUCCAAUAUAUUUCCACUAAGUUAGGCACUCAGGCUAGCAAAAUGAAUACAAGAUUCCAACUAAUCAAUUUCUGAAAUAACAUGGUGUCUAGAAAUGCUAAUCCUAAUUUUAGUGCUGUUCUACUUACUCUGGAGAGAUCUUGGUCGAUGUCAACGAUUAUCAUGGCCAUGUUGGUGGAUGGGGACAAGGCUCUUUGAGGCGGUCUUCCUCCUCUCAUUGGCAAUGCAAACACAGUUCUGCACCCUCCAACUCCUACUCUGAGUGGGCCUCACACCGCCGGCAGAAUUCCAUUAGUAUAUAAUAUAAUUCAAUCUGCAUUCAACAAAGACCAAGAGUUAUUGAGCCCUCCCAAGUAUUUGCAAUAAAAAUGGAAGAUAACUGCAUGAAUAAUUGUCACUCUAAUAUCAAUUUACAAGUUCACAUUAUACCUCUUUGUCGACAAGGCCGAGGAACUCUUGAUGCUCCUUGCUAACGGACUGCAAUAUAAGGAAGUCAGAAAAAGAUAACAUCACCUGUUGUUUUCUCAACGCAAUGUUAGCGCUCCUUUCAUAAUAUAAGCAUUCUUCCUAGAGUAACAACAGUAUUCAUGCUCUUCUCUAAUUGAAUAUGCAAAGAACACUGAUUUUUCCUUAUCAAACAAAGGAUGCUACCAUAUAACAUUUAAAAUGAGUAGAAUCAUCAAUACAAAUUUAUCAAUUUAUGUGCCAAUUAUGAUCAUCAACAAAUAGGCGAUUAGCCUAAUGAAAUACUCUACAUACCAGCAAAGAUUGCCAUCUGCUAAAUCCUUACUGAAGCAUACUGAAAAGCCAAAUCUCCUCCUGGAUAAAAGGAAACUAUAGAUUUAGUCAUAUAUUUUUUCAGAUUAUCAAGCUAAAAGAGUGCCAUAAGAGAUGGCAAACUUCAAUUGUGAAGGAAUGCAGUGUGGAACAGUAAGCCCAUAAAAAAUUUCCAGUGUGUUCUGAUAACCAUUUAGAACAAGUAUUCCCUCUUUCACUACUAUUGUCAUUAUUAUCAUACGCUCCUCUCAAUGGCCACUUAUAAAUACUUUCAUUGUUUAAUUGUGUAGAAGGAACAGAACCAGAAGAACCAUUGCAGGUUAUUCCACUUCAUUUAAAACUCUAUGAGCGUGUUGCACAAAUUGAUUGACCCUCUUAGUCAAUAUUUCAUUUCAUUUGUUUAGCAUAAUAUUGUUUAGUAUAAUACACCAUUAUUAUAGGAUAAGGAGUCAGGGGAGCAUGUAGGAUCCAAAGUCAGCAUGCCCAAUAAUGGCGUACCAUCGAACUUGAUACGAUCUAUAAUUGGCCAGACUUACGACUACCUCCCUCAAGAUUAUGUAUUAACCAACCAGGAUGUUACUGCUCAAGACAUUAUUCUGGUAUCAUCUGAAAAUGAGACGCUGGUGAACAUGGGAGGUUUUUCUGUCAAAAAACAUCACCUAUCGUGCCUUCUCACUAAAGAUGAAUGGGUGAACGACGACGUCAUCAGUGCGUACAUACACUGAAUAAAGGAGGCGCAAUCAAAGACCGAUAAGAAAGUGUAUUAUGAAAACCCCUUUAUCAUUGCCAUGUUACAACGAGAUGCGGUCUACAUAAUAGAUGAACAUAUAGACAACUUUAUUACAAAUAUAGUGAAGAACUAUCUUUUUCAUGAACUGAUUUUUCUACCAAUAAAUAGAGGAAAUAUUCAUUGGUAUUUAGCUAUUCUCAACCCCCAAAAAAAAGUGAUACAUGUACUUGAUUCUCUCUGUGAGGACUUCGAUCGUGUUGACCUCCAUAUAGCGAUACAAGGAGUACAAAAACAUCUUGAUAUCAUUACACGGCGGCAGGACUUACCUAGCCAUGAAUGGAUAGAUCUAAAUGUCGUGACAUGGCUGAUCAUAGAACAAUUACAAGUCAAAAUUCAACUAGAUGGAAAGAUAUUGAACUUUUUAGGUACAAGUUAGCCGGUAUAUUACUGUGUUGGAAAACAAAUAUGGCGGCCGAGGCUUCCAAUGUUGAACAAGUCGAAGAUACAGACAAUGAAGAUGAUGUUGUGAUAGUGGGCAGUCGUCAAAGAGAAAGAUGGGACAUGAAAUAAUCUAAAAGCCUGAGGGAGUUGCGGAUCCGAGCGAGGGUCAAGACCUGCAGGACUUCGAGCAAGGCAAGUCAUCACUAUUCUUUGAACAUGUUGAUCCCAAUUGCGAAAUUAUUUUGUUUACAAAUAAGAUUGCAUGCAAUGAUGAACAUCCUACUUGUGAUUAUGCCAUGUCUUGAUUAUUGUUUACCUUUAAAUCCAUGUAACCAUAAUUACGUAUGAGUCCUUAGUCAAUUAUGACACAUCCUUAGAAAUGCUACUCUAGAUUCAUGCACGCUCAUAUUUUAUCAAAUGCUAUAUGCUUGGGAAAUUACCUUUGGGAAGGUAAUUGAGAUGCGGCAUGUGGAGACAUGAGCGCCACAUUGCCAUGAUGAUGAUGACAUGAUUUGUGAAAGUAGGAAUGAAAUUAAACACUUGUUUUAGACUGGGGCAGACGGUGGAUUUGGGUGGUAUCUGGGAAAGGCUAGUACCGUCCC